AAGUCCAACAUCUGGAACUAGUCUGACAUAUACAGCAGGUCCAACAUCUGGAACUAGUCUGACAUCUACAGAAGGUCCAACAUCUGGGACUAGUCUGACAUCUACAGCAGGUCCAACAUCUGGAACUAGUCUGACAUCUACAGAAGGUUCAACAUCCGGAACUAAUCUAACAUCUACAGCAAGUCCAACAUCUGGAACUAGUCUGACAUAUACAGCAGGUCCAACAUCUGGAACUAGUCUGACAUCUACAGAAGGUCCAACAUCUGGGACUAGUCUGACAUCUACAGCAAGUCCAACAUCUGGAACUAGUCUGGCAUCUACAGUAAGACCAACAUCUGGAACUAGUCUGGCAUCUACAGUAAGACCAACAUCUGGAACUAGUCUGACAUCUACAGCAGGUCUAACAUCUGGAGCUAGUCUGACAUCUACAGCAGGUCCAACAUCUGGAAUUAGUCUCACAUCUACAGCAGGUCCGACAUCCGGAACUAGUCUGACAUCUACAGAAGGUUCAACAUCCGGAACUCGUCUGACAUCUACAGCAGGUCCAACACCUGGAACUAGUCUGACAUCUACAGCAGGUCCAACACCUGAAACUAGUCUGACAUCUAAAGCAGGUCCAACAUCUGGAACUAGUCUGACAUCUACAGCAGGUCCAACAUCUGGAACUAAUCUGACCUCUACAGAAGGUCCAACAUCCGGAACUAAUCUGACAUCUACCAAAAGUCCAACAUCUGGAACUAGUCUGGCAUCUACAGUAAGACCAACAUCUGGAACUAAUCUGACAUCUACAGUAGGUCCGACAUCUGGAACUAGUCUGACAUCUACAGAAGGUCCAACAUCCGGAACUAGUCUGACAUCUACAGCAAGCCCAACAUCUGGAACUAGUCUGACAUCUACAGCAGGUCCAACACCUGGAACUAGUCUGACAUCUACAGCAGGUCCAACACCUGGAACUAGUCUGACAUCUACAGCAGGUCCAACAUCUGGAACUAAUCUGACAUCUACAGCAGGUCCAACAUCUGGAACUAGUCUGACAUCUACAGAAGGUCCAACAUCCGGAACUAAUCUGACAUCUACCAAAAGUCCAACAUCUGGAACUAGUCUGGCAUCUACAGUAAGACCAACAUCUGGAACUAAUCUGACAUCUACAGCAGGUCCAACAUCUGGAACUAGUCUGACAUCUACAGAAGGUUCAACAUCCGGAACUAAUCUAACAUCUACAGCAAGUCCAACAUCUGGAACUAGUCUGACAUAUACAGCAGGUCCAACAUCUGGAACUAGUCUGACAUCUACAGAAGGUCCAACAUCUGGGACUAGUCUGACAUCUACAGCAAGUCCAACAUCUGGAACUAGUCUGGCAUCUACAGUAAGACCAACAUCUGGAACUAGUCUGACAUCUACAGCAGGUCUAACAUCUGGAGCUAGUCUGACAUCUACAGCAGGUCCAACAUCUGGAAUUAGUCUCACAUCUACAGCAGGUCCGACAUCCGGAACUAGUCUGACAUCUACAGAAGGUUCAACAUCCGGAACUCGUCUGACAUCUACAGCAGGUCCAACACCUGGAACUAGUCUGACAUCUACAGCAGGUCCAACACCUGAAACUAGUCUGACAUCUAAAGCAGGUCCAACAUCUGGAACUAGUCUGACAUCUACAGCAGGUCCAACAUCUGGAACUAAUCUGACAUCUACAGAAGGUCCAACAUCCGGAACUAAUCUGACAUCUACCAAAAGUCCAACAUCUGGAACUAGUCUGGCAUCUACAGUAAGACCAACAUCUGGAACUAAUCUGACAUCUACAGUAGGUCCGACAUCUGGAACUAGUCUGACAUCUACAGAAGGUCCAACAUCCGGAACUAGUCUGACAUCUACAGCAAGCCCAACAUCUGGAACUAGUCUGACAUCUACAGCAGGUCCAACACCUGGAACUAGUCUGACAUCUACAGCAGGUCCAACAUCUGGAACUAGUCUGACAUCUACAGAAGGUCCAACAUCCGGAACUAAUCUGACAUCUACCAAAAGUCCAACAUCUGGAACUAGUCUGGCAUCUACAGUAAGACCAACAUCUGGAACUAAUCUGACAUCUACAGCAGGUCCAACAUCUGGAACUAGUCUGACAUCUACAGAAGGUCCAACAUCCGGAACUAAUCUGACAUCUACCAAAAGUCCAACAUCUGGACCUAGUCUGGCAUCUACAGUAGGUCCAACAUCUGGAAAUAGUCUGACAUCUACAGUAGGUCCAACAUCUGGAACUAGUCUGACAUCUACAGAAGGUCCAACAUCCGUAACUAGUCUGACAUCUACAGCAAGUCCAACAUCUGGAACUAGUCUGACAUCUACAGCAGGUCCGACAUCUGAAACUAGGCUUACAUCUACAGCAGGUCCAACAUCCGGAACUAGUCUGACAUCUAUAGCAGGUCCAACAUCUGGAACUAGUCUGACAUCUACAGCAGGUCCCACAUCUGGAACUAGUCUGACAUCUACAGCCGGUCCCACAUCUGGAACUAGUCUGACAUCUACAGCCAGUCCAACAUCCGGAACUAGUUUGACAUCUACAGCAGGUCCAACAUCUGAAACUAGUUUGACACCUACAGCAGGUCCAACAUCUGAAACUAGUCUGACAUCUACAGCAAGACCAACAUCUGGAACUAGUCUGACAUCUACAGGAAGCACAAGUCAUGUAACAAACACGGGUUUCACAGCCCCUAGUUCAACUAAUUCCACUUCAUCUUCUACAACAAAAGUAGAUGCAGCAUCUGUGGCAGGCAAGUCAUUUCUUAAUCAACUCAUAUACUCAUAGGCAUUGCUAGUGGGGGGUGUUGGUACCUGAAGUGCAAAGUGUGGGUCUUUGUAGUACCAGAUCUCUACAGUUUCAUAUAAUUGUAUCAAGCACCAAACCAGUUUAUGAACGAGGCCAAGCUGGGCUUCAAAUAUAAUUAAUAAGUGCUUGGUGAGAAGUAUCUAGUUGGUACUGUCCUCUCCUCACAGUAGAUGGACCGCAAUGUGUCUGUUCUAGAUGUUAUACAUGUUAUACACAUUAUACAGAUAUUAAGGUCUAACCAUAGUUCCGUUGUAGUGAAGUUUCAGUAAUCAGAGAUUCAUAUUGAUUACUGUUCCAUGAAUACCUUUAAUGUGUGAUUUUUUUUUUCCUGUAGAUAUUAGCAGUAACGUGGCAAGUGUGUCAGGAAGCAGCCCCCUAUCUGACUACAUAACUGCUAUCAUUGUACUGUUCAGUAUAAUUGUCCUCGCAAUCCCUAUAGUAAUUAUCCUGGUAAGUAAAAUUCUCAUACAUAAAACAGGAAUUAAAUAUUGAUAAAGAUAUAGUGAUAUAAACUAUCCCAUUGACUAGGGUUUCCCAAGCCCCUUGCCACCCACACAAAUAAAAAUACCCUUCCUGACCCCUGACCCUAAUAUUAAUGAGGCAGGCUUAAUUAAUCUAAAACUUGUAAUAAUAACGCAACACAAUAAUCCAACUUAGCUCUCUGAUCGCUCAGCGUACACUGAGCUUGCAUGGUGGGGAAAAGUCUUACACCUGGAUAAAAUAUCUUUGUUUCUUCAGCCCCAAAACAGGCCAAACAAAAUUCAACGCAAGUCUCGAAAAAAGGGAGACUUACAUGUCAGAGCUCUCUAAUUGGUUGGUUUACAACCCGAUCAUUCAAAACUCUCUGACUGGUAUUUUAUUGUUGGAAAGCCCUUAUAAAACUUUUCCCCGCCAUGCAAGCUCAGUCUACACAGAGCCCUCAGAUGGCUAAAUGGAUUAUUGUUAUUGCAUUGUGGUAUUUUUACACGUCUUAGAUUUAUUGCCCCCCUCAGUAUUAUUGAGGUACUUUAAGGUACUUUUAUUUGGGGUGGCGACUUGGGCACCCCUAGCUACCACAGGGGUGGAUAUUGUUGACAAUUUUGUGUGCAAUAUUGGGCACACACCUGCCACGUAUGGGUGGGAGCACAGGUGGGAUCUGUGCCAGAUCCUUCCUGUAUGUUACUAUCAACUGGAAGCAAUAGCUGCCAAGUUACUCGUCUAUUACAGUGAGCAACCAAUGGAGACAUGGACCUGUGUUUUGGUGGGUGGGGGCAUGAAGGCAGUUUAAAGCUUCCCCUUUACUAUUAUGUUAAACAAGUUUAGUCAUUAGUAAAGGUCGAGAAAGGUGCUUCCGAAGCACAUUUAUUGGAAUCUUUUCCAACAACCAACCUGUUUAUUGAGCUUGGCUGCUGGAAUUUCACAGUCAUUAAAUCCAGCUGAAAUUCGAGAAAAAAAAAAUCAUCUGAAAGCGGUCCGUAUUGAUCAAGGUUUUUACUCAUUAGAAUUAAAUUGAGGCCUAAACGCAUUCUUGAUAAAUCUGGAGUUCAUAUACAAGUCCUGCAGCUGAGGAUGACAUCAUUGGCAUCAUUAUUUCUGUCCUGUUUGUUCAUUUUAUAAACAGGCAAUCAAGAGUGGAAUCUUCAGCUGGCUGUUUGGCGCCGGCGCUGUGGGUGGAGCCAGUAGUUCAGCUGAAUCUGGUCUGAGAGGAGCAAGCGUUGGAGUCAGCAUACCAAAUUUUAGAGUAAGCGUAUGUAAAAAAUAAAGCUAUGUAGAUAAAAAAAAAUUGUAAUUCUUAUCUCUCCAGCCAUUCUCAGUACAGAUGUCUCUGAUCCAGACAUAUACUUCAUUUCAUUGCUUGCCCAUAGCAAUUUACCACCAACAACAACUUCUUACUUAGUAUCCAACGUAACAAAUGGUAUUAUCGAUAGUUCCAUCCUCAUAUAGAAUUCAUGAAAUGUGCACUAGGUGUUUGAAUGUAAGCAUGUUUUUGUUAUGUUUCAUGUUUUGAUUAUGUGUGUGCCUGUAGGGGUGUAUUUGUAUGUACUGUUGCCAUUGGAAUGCAGUAGUGUACUUAUGUGUAGUGUUUGCGUUUAAAUGCAGGGGUGUGUCUGUAUGUAGUGCUGGCUUUUAAGUGUAGGUGUACAUUUGUGUGUAGUGUUACAUGAAUGGAGGAGUGUUUGUAUAUAACUUUUGCAUUUUAAUACAGCGGUGUGUUUGUAUGUAAUGUUUGCAUUUGCAUGGAUGUCUUUGUAUGUUGUGUUGGUGUUUGAUUGUUGGGAUGUAUAUAUACACAAACAUACACUGCUACAUACAUACGUACACACACAGAUACACACAUAUAUACACACAUACACUGCCACAUACAUACGUACACACACAGAUACACACAUAUAUACACACAUACACUGCCACAUACAUACGUACACACACAGAUACACACAUAUAUACACACAUACACUGCCACAUACAUACGUACACACACAGAUACACACAUACACUGCUACAUACAUACGUACACUCACAGAUACACACAUAUAUACACACAUACACUGCUACAUACAUACGUACACACAGAUACACACAUAUAUACACAUACACUGCUACAUACAUACGUACACACACAGAUACACAAUUAUAAACACACAUACACUGCUAUAUACAUACGUACACACAGAUACACACAUAUAUACACACAUACACUGCUACAUACAUACGUACACACAAAGAUACACAUAUAUAAACACACAUACACUGCUACAUACAUACAUUCACACAUAGAUACACACAUAUAAACACACAUACACACAUUCCUCCCAGAUACAAGAACAGCCGUGCGGGAGGGAGAUGAGGCACAGGAGGAGUGGGAGGAGGCAACAGAAAAGGAGGGAGAGAAACAAGGAGAGACUCAGCUCCAGACCCACACUCCCAUCAUACUCAACCAGCAGCAGGACCCCAGGAAAGCCACCCUCCUGCACAGAAAGGAUAUGUUAAAAUUCUGGGAGGAAGUGACAGGCUAUUAGUUCCUCCCAUGCUGCUGAUUUGAAAGGGGCCUGAUCGUGCUAUUAUAGGGCCACUGCUCCUUACCGGGUCCCUUUUCAGCAACAAGCAUGGGGGGCCCUGAGUGCAUGGACCACGCGAUGGGCCCCCUCAGUGUGCGGACCUCGGUACUGACGCAGCGGCUUCACUGGCAGUAGUUCUGCCACUGUCUCUAUGUUUUGCAGGAAACAUAUUCUUUAUUUUGCUAUAAUGUAUCACAUUAUAUUAUUCACAAGCUUAUUUACUAAAAUCUAAAUUUAAAGUGAAUGUAAAUUUGAGGCCAAAGUAGACGAAAUGGAAGGUCUGGAGAUGUUUUCCAGUUGGUGUAUUCUCACAGUGGUGAAUAAUCCUUACAGUCUGAAUUUUCUGAAUACAAAGUUGUUCGAGCAGCUGAUAUGUAAACACAGCUGGUAUAUUUUUUCAGAGAUGUUGCUGAAUUGUUCCCUUUUAGCUAUUCUGACAUACAAAUUUGCAAUAUUUUGAUGCUUGAUAAUCUUUUGGUUUUAUUUUUCAAAGUAUUCCCACGACAUAAGUGAGAAAUGUCUGUGUUUUGCCAGGAAGAUAAUAUAAAUACAUGCAGGCCUCUACGUUGUUUAGCUGGAUUAAAAGGCACCUUUAUGAGCAUAUAUAAACAUUGUGCAGCAGGGGUGUACUAUCCACCACAACUACCACAACUCUAUAAACCUGAUUGUAUAACAGAGCUCCACAGCAAUAAUACUCCCAGUAAUGUGUCUGAGUGUAUAACAGAGCUCCACAGCAAUAAUACUCCCAGUAAUGUGUCUGAGUGUAUAACAGAGCUCCACAGCAAUAUUACUCCCAGUAAUGUGUCUGAGUGUAUAACAGAGCUCCACAGCAAUAUUACUCCCAGUAAUGUGUCUGAGUGUAUAACAGAGUUCCACAGCAAUAUUACUCCCAGUAAUGUGUCUGAGUGUAUAACAGAGCUACACAGUAAUAAUACUCCCAGUAAUGUGUCUGAGUGUAUAACAGAGUUCCACAGCAAUAUUACUCCCAGUAAUGUGUCUGAGUGUAUAACAGAGCUCCACAGCAAUAUUACUCCCAGUAAUGUGUUUGAGUGUGAAGUUUUGCAAUCACAGAGACUACCUGUCAUUAAUCCACCUGUAAUCUAUUUUCUUUGCAGUCUGGCUCUUAUGAUCUUCCUCGAUGAUUUGCUGCGUAACAAAAUUUUACAAAAUUACCUGCAGUAGCUGGAACGAAGCAAACUGUCUGAAUGUUAACACUGCAUCCCCGGGACGUGUGC